AGUUUUCCAUUGACCUUAAUCACAGGACAUGCUUUAAGGGAUCACUUGUGUUCCAGACAAACUCUUCCUUUUCUCCACUGUGGAGUAGCAGUCCAAUUUCCCCUAGGUAGUCAGGAUUAAUUAUGCCAGUCGGCACAGUAACUCCCUUCUUUGCCUGUUGAUUUGGAGGCAUAAGGAGUCCAAAGUGGCCAGGUGGCAGUCUCAACUUCCAGUUCAAUAGAAUCAUUGUUGUGUCUCCUGGUGGAAACAUUCCUCCCUUCAGAACUAAGACCACUAAGCCAGCAGAGCAUAAGGUCAUGAGAAUAGGAAGCAAAAAUUUUGCUAGUGGGGCACUAGUGAUAAUAGUGGGUGUUUCUACUCUAUGAUUCCUGGAGCUGUGAAUCUUGGCUAUGGGAAGAAGAACACCAUACAUUGGACUCUGGUUCAGAGCAUAUAUACAGCCUUCUGGAUAACCUUGCUGCAGACCUACAAAGUAUUGCCGCUGAGCUGGCACUGUAACUGAGUCUUCAAAAGGCCAUUCCAUUGUACUUUCAAACCAGCUGCUUCAGGAUGGUGUGGAACACGACGUCGUAUUACCACAAAGGGAGCCAGCUGAAGGAAAAAGCCAAUGUCCUGCGGAGAGAAAAGCAGAGAAAUGGAGGCUGCUUGGCUCCUUGAGGACACCUUGAGCCACUCAUCGUACCACACCUGGAACCCACUACUUCUAGACUAACUAUUAUAUGAGAUAAUACAUUUCCUUACAUGUUUGAA
rnacentral:lncRNA from 1 species